rnacentral:lncRNA from 1 species
GCUAGAAUUAGGCUAGGUACUUGGUGGAAUCUUGAUGGAACUGACGCAUGUCAGAAACAUCUGGUGAUGCAGGGUUUUCUGAAAAUUAAUAUGGAUACUGGAUAAACAACCCAUCUGGCAAGAUUGCAUCACGUAGCUCACCCUGGCUAAAACACUGGACCAACUUAAUUUGCCGUUUUCCAUUUCUGGCUCGUGACUUCCCUGGUUUUGAUUUGAUGUAACUUGCUGUACAAGGUAAUUAUUGACUGUUUACAUUGUAUCAGUAUAUUCCAACUGGAGUAAAGCAGUGUUCGUCAUAUAUAUAUUUAUUUUUUUAAAUAAUUUGGUGUGUAAUUAGACCUAGGUCACAUUGAAAAUUGCCAGAAUGUGGCAAAAACUCAAUGUACUCUCACUGGACACCCUGUGACUGAGAAAGAAGCAAUUUUCGCAUCCCAGAGCCUCUGAACCAUUAUCACAAACCACAUAACAAUCAUAAACACAAUAUCUGAACAGAAGCCUGAACAGUACCCAACCCUACUGAGUAUUAUAUGUCUGUAUUAUAUCAAAGCUCCAAAUAAUGCAACAUUGAGUCAGUAUAUCCACUAGUUUGUAAAAAGAGAGAAGUAAACUCACUCCCCAUGAUCUUCAUCCCACUCCUGAACAUCUCAAAGAGCUCUAAUUCCAGAGUCGCAGGACACCAUGAGCAGCUUUGUGCUGUGUCAUUGCCUUGUCAAUGUGACUGUCUUAGCACUAUGGACCAGUCAUCCUGCUAUCAGAGGAAUAUACAUGUUCAAACCAUUUCUAUCCUACAGUAUUUGCUUUGGGGUGAAGUUUGCUCUUUGUUUUUGGAACGGAACAUGCUGGACUCACUAUCUGUGACAAAAAAACAAGUUCGCAGGUUUACCUGUUGGAAUAGACGCGUGCGGCACAGUCAGCGAGAGACAAAAAAACAGGGGAGGAGGAGAGGAGGCAGCGGCGACAGCCUCCUCAGAUCAGCGCAAGAUGGUGAGGAGAAAGAGACCAUGCAGCGGUUCUACCAGCAGCCUAAGAACACCUCCAGUGAGAGAUUGAGAGGGGGGAGGAUCCUGGGUUUAGAGCGCUGUGCUGUGGUUGAGGGGGACUGGACCAGCAGAGGAGAAGGUGAAGGAAGGAGGUAG